UAGUUUCUUUAAGGUGACGAGUGUACAUGAGUGCACUCUUGUAGGACUCGAGUGCAUAGACGCGAUAAGUAUCCCUCGAAGUUCUUCGUCAAAGCCAACUACUAGCUUACCCCCUUUUCUCAAGUUGCCAUCAAUUAAGGUAAAACCAGGGUGAGCUUUUUCAUCUUCCUUUAUUUCUUGAAUUAGUUUAACCAUGUUUGGAUCAGCAGCCUAAGUCUGAUUAAUACGUUUGAUUACAGGUGAAUGAUAUACAGACAAUCCUGCACAUUAUACCCAUUAUUGCGUCUUGAUAGUGCAUGAGCCACCACAUUUUCCCGACCUCUUUUAAAUUGGAUAGUGAAGUCAUAACCCACUAACUUGUAUAGUCAUUUUCUUGAGCUAGGGUUUGCACUCUCUAUUCCAAUAGGUAUUUAAGAGAUUUAUGAUCCGUUUUAACAACGAAGGGCUUAUAACGGAGGUAAGGUCGCCAUUUCUCAACUGCAAAUGUAAGUGCCAAUAGUUCCCUUUCGUAUGUCGAUGAUGGGCUUCUUUCAUUCGGGAGAGACCUACUUAUGAAGGCAAUAGUUCUGUCAUUGGCCUCGCCACCACCCCAUAAUGUCGUAUGAAUCUCCUGUAAUAGCCCGUGAGUCCGAGAAAUCCACGCAGUUGCUUGAUCGAGGUAGGAGUAGGCCACGUUUCCAUUGCCUUUAACUUCUCUAGAUUAGAUCCCUGCUGAUUACACGACUCAGGUAAGCUAUCUUAGUACAACCAAACUCGCAUUUAUUCCAAUUAAGAAAUAGUGUGUUUUUUCUCAAGAUUUUCAGAACCUCGACCAAGUGUUUUAGGUGUUCCUCCCAAUUGGCACUAUAUAUCAAAAUGUCGUCAAAGAAAACCAACACAAACCUUCUCAAUAAUGGUUUGAGGACUGAGUUCAUAAGGCUCUGGAAUGUAGAUGGCACGUUGGUGAGACCAAAAGGCAUCACCAAAAAUUCAUAUAAGCCUUCGUGUGUUCGGAAUGCCGUUUUGUGAUAAUCAGCAGACUUCAUUCGAAUUUGGUGAUACCCCGAUCGAAGGUCUAAUUUAAAGAAAAAUACAGAGUCGUGAAGUUCUUCUAAUAAUUCUUCUAUGAUCGGGAUAGGAAAUUUAUCUUUAUAGUGGCAGAAUUUAGUUGACGAUAAUCAAUACAUAGCCUCCAAGUUAAGUCCUUCUUUCUUACUAGAACUACUGGUGCAGCAAAAGCACUAUGACUAUGUUGUAUAAUGCCUUUGUCUAACAUGUCGUCGACCAUAUUCUCAAUUUCUUCUUUUUGGAUUGCAGGGUAUCUAUAUGAUCUUAAGCACACCGGUUCCAUUCCCUACUUGAGUGGAAUUUGAUGAUCGUGAUCACGAAUAUGAGGCAAUUCAGUUGGUUUCUGGAAGAGGUCCUCAAAACUGGCUAGUAUCUUUUCCAAUUUUUCAGGAGCCUCAUGGAAGCUCAAGGCAUAAAUUGCAAAGAACUGCCCUGCUGACUCUUGAGAGCUUCUCAUUUGUAUCAUCGCGGCUUUAUUUCCUUUGCUCAGCAACUUAGACAGUUUACCACCCUCCAAAAUAUCCACUCCAGAUUGGUUAAUACCCCUUAGGGACUUGGUAAUUCCACCCCUUUCAAACGAUAAAGUCAGCUCUUCGAAAUUCCAAGAUGACGGCCUUAAAGUAAUUAACCAUUCAAUUACCAAUACAAUGUCAUAGUUAGACAUUGAUAGUACCCGCAUGUCAGCAUGAUAUUCUUCGUCAUUCAUUGACCAUCUUAGAUUUUGACAAUAACCUUCACUAACCACGUUGGAUCCACCUGCCACUUUCACAAGUAAGGCUGUCGUAGAUAGCACCGGGUGACUGAUGUUUUUGAGUAUCCGACUGUUAAUGAAAUUAUGGGUACUACCAGUAUCUAUAAGAAUAAUAACUAGUAAUGACCCAACCUUACCCAGUAUUUGGAGAGUCUGAUAAUUCUUCGUUCCAGACAGGGCAUAUAUAGAAAUUGAUGGCUCGUCUUUUGCUGAUUUAGUAGGGUGGUUAGGAUGGUAUGUCACCUCUUCUUAUUUAGGUAUGCAACUUUCCAUUUCUCUUGUUUCAUUGAUACAGAUCAUGAACAACUUGGCUUUGCAUUUAUGGUUUGCAUCAUAUUUCUCAUCACAGGUGUAGCAUAGACCCUUCUUUCUUCUGUCAUCUAGAAUUUUAGGAUCCAUUUGUUGCAUAUAUCUUUGUCGUGGGUUUGGGUUAAACAGAGAUGAAUAGGGAAUAGUAGGUUGGUGAGGUUUCGAAUGGUUAGGCCAUGGGGGUUUAGGAUGACUGGGAGUGGGUAGAAUAGGGGGGCUUGGACUAUAUAGGUGGCCAUUGUUUAGUAAAGAUUUAUAGAUAGUUUCUUGUACUUUAGCUACAACCAUGGUUGUGUUCAAUGAAUCAGGUUGGAUUAGUCGGACAGAGUUUGCGAUCUCAUCCCUAAGACCGCUCAAAUAACAGUCGAUUGUAUAUUAAUCUGGCAUAUGUAUGAUUUUUUGAGAUAUUGCCAUAUACUUGAUAUUAUAUUCAUGAAUAGAUUUGUUUGUUUCAGAUUCAUCAGUUGACUCAUAGGAGUAUCACAAAUAGAGGGCCCGAACUACUGGAGUAGUGAUUUCUUGAAGUUAGUCCAUGUUAGUCCUACGGUUUAAUUUCUUGUUUGUAGGAAGGAUCUGUACCAUGUUUGAGCAUCACCCGAGAAGUGGAUAGGAGCAAUCUCUAUUUUAGUUGUGUUUGAGGUUCUAUCAACCUUAAAAAAUUGCUCUACUGAAAUCAGCCAGCCCUCGACGUCCACUCCAUCAAACUUAGGAAAAUCAACUUUCGUGAAUCUUGUGCGGCGGAACAUACGGCCUCUCCCUUUCUGCACCUGAUCGUGAAGAACCUGCACCAUCCUCCGGACGAUCAUAGUUGUUCUUACUCGCCAAGGUAUGUAACUGUUCUUCGAUGGACCCGACCUUACUCUCCGUCCAUUUACGUACUUCCAAUAUCGUCUGGUUCAUUGACUCUACUGAUACACACAGAGAAUUGUUAUCCGACAGAUGUCUUGUUUUGACCAUCGUGAAGAUCGACGACUCUGAUACCACUUGAUACACUCUUUAGAAGAAAUAUGAGAAAAGAAGACUGGUUCACCCAACGAUAAAGAUUAGUAAAGGUUGAGAAGAUUAGGGGUGAGGAAAAAGAUGAGCAAAAUGCCCUUUCAUUCAAAAAUUCCUGAUAGUCAUGUAAAGAGAGUCACUGAUUAUAUUCUCAGCAUAUUCUCA